rnacentral:misc_RNA from 1 species
UGCACUGUGGCGCUAGUUGGAACGCACCAGCCAGCUUGCUUCCCUCCCCGUCCACACCACCACCAUCUUCACCAUCACUACAACAAUUACCAACACCAUCAUCUUCACCUUCACCGCCACCAUCAACACCACCACACCUUACCGCCACCACCACUACCUCAGUCACUGUUAGUACCGAGGUCCUCCCUACCAGCGCUGUCGGGUCAGGUAUGUGGAAGUGUGAGUCGCAGGCCACACGCACACACACACACACACACACACAGACGCACGCACACAUACUCAUACACUCACACGCACACACACACACACCCACACAGAGGACCAGCCGCCGCAUGAAGACCUCCGCAGUCGCAUCGACCCGCCCUUGAGGGACCGAAUUACGUAGGUCAAAACGAGAAACUGGGGCAGUCCUCCUCCCCCUCCUGUUCCUCUUACUGGCUCCUCGUCCUUCUACUGUCGCAGCCUGGGACACUGUUCAUGACCUGGCCUACAGCAUCCUGUCAGUCUGACUGUUCGUGUAGAGACAUGGAAGCACUUUAGUAAAUCUCAGUUAUUGUUUACAACUCUCCAUGGUAGGCUGGGGCGUGGCAAACUAUUGCAGUGAUGUGAACAGUUGUGCAGGAUACAGUCGCCAUAGUUACAUUGAGCAUUAAGUGUGAAGUAGAAGAGUGUAAACGUGAAAAAGACAUUUAACUGCUGAAUAAAUUUGUUCAGUUAGACCAAUUAAUCGUUUCUUUCGGUUAUAAAUUGUACAACUUUGUGUCAAUAUAAAAAGUUCUGCCAAGAAUGAUAAAUUGGUGAUCAUAUGUUGCCAGUCACACGGUCCUUUUAAAUACAUAAUGACUCGUGUGUAUAUCUGAUGACAACAACGCAUACCACUCGACUACCAGUACAUGUAUUGUGAACCAUCAACUAAUGUCAGUGUGAACCAUCAACCAACAUCAGUGUGAACCAUCAACCAACAUCAGUGUGAACCCUCAACCAACAUCAGUGUGAACCAUCAACCAACAUCAGUGUGAACCCUCAACCAACGUCAGGGUGAACCAUCAACCAACAUCAGUGUGAACCAUCAACCAACGUCAGGGUGAACCAUCAACCUGCGUGGUGAGCGAGCGAGGCAGAGAGAGAACCCACCGUCUAUGUCGGUAGUGUCGGGCUGGGGGCGGUGUGAGUGAGGAAAGGAGAGUCGAGGUGGAAGGUGGUGGUGCUGUGUGUGAGAGAGAGAGGGAGGGAGCGACUCAGCUCUUGCAAAGGGGAAGGUGCACACACACACACCGUCUACCAGAGCAACACUACAGUCUCUCAUACUCACAGGACCCAACUCAUCACGCUGUGUCUUUACGGAGUGAUGUGUGGUGGUGGCUUCCAAUCAGCUGUGAAAAGUAUAAUUAUUGAAAAAGGGAACAGAAAUAACACGUAGCUGAGAAUAUACAAUGAGAAGACACUAUUAAUGGAAUAAUUAUUGUGUUACGUGAUAGAAAAAAAAGAUAACGAGAUAUAUUAAUAUUUAUAUCAGUGAUGGAAUAUAACGAUUUAAAAAAGUAAUCGUCUAAUGUUGCGUGUUAGUGAAACAAUAGCCGUAUUGUGACGUCAUUACAAAGUCUAUCAACCACCGUGAGAAGAUGUACCCGUUGGAUAAUGGAUAAAGUCAGCUAUUAAACUUUGACAACAGGUAUAAGAUGUUCGUCAGAAACUUGUUUACAUCCUGCAACCUGAAAGAUGAAUAGCAUACGAGUGUCAUAAUCCUGAACACCAAGAUUAAACACAACAACAUUCUGAGUGUUGUUACAUGGUUCACACACAUACACAUAUCUUAUUAAAAUGCUCAAGUAAUGUGCCAGUUUCUCUAAGUGUUCAAUCAGUGAGUGUUUCUCUUAAUGAAAGGGAGAGAAUAAAUUAACUUUUCCUUUUUUACUGUUGAUGUUCAGAAGAAAAGUGGUUUAAGUGUUGUUAUGGAUGAAACGUGACUAUUUUGACGCAUUUAUGAGACGGCACCAGGACUCUGAUAGAACGCAUCCACCAAGACAUCAAAAUACCCCCAAAGUCUGACACGUCCAAUCAAGACGUCACAACCGCUCUAAUCUGAUACAUCCAAUCCACACCCCACUGAAGUAACGAACGACAAGGACGACUCGGGAGCCUUCUUACCUCGCCCUCCAAGAUGCACCUAUUCCUCAAGACGCUGUACAUGUUGACGGUGAUGGUAAUGACGGGGAUGAUGAUGGUCUUAGUUCUACUGUGUACACCUGACUUCCACACGAGACUCUCCAAUGGCUUCUACCGUCAGAGCGACCUCACCUACAGCCAAUUCGUCAUGCAAAGCCUGGAGAACCCUGGCGUGUAUGUGGCCGAGGUGUCCGUGGAUGUUGAGGACGUCCCCUACCGGCCGCCCCCCGUCAAGCGAGAGGCUGCCUGGGACUACUCCGGCAACAAUACCGGUUUCCUCAAAAUUCACUUAGACUAUGGGCGUCCCCAACAUGAACCGUGGGCGGGCAAGGUGGGGUGUAUGGGCGUGAGGGUGGGGUUCGCAAGACGGAGAACCUUACCUCGGACAGCUCUCGCCUCUUACCCGGGCAGUGGUAAUACCUGGCUCAGGUACCUCAUCCAGAGCUCCUCCGGGUUGUUCACUGGGUCAGUCUACAUCGAUAGGGAACUGGCAUCCAAAGGCUUCUAUGGUGAAAACGAGAUACCUGAGUGUGGCUGUACCAUCGCUGUCAAGACUCAUGGCUACUGUUUGGGAGGCUUACCUGCAGAGAGGGAUCAAAGGACGAAGGAGAUGGACAAGUUCUUCGGUCGUGGUCUCCUGUUACUGAGAAAUCCCUUCGACACUCUCAUCGCCUACCGCAACUACCUGUCAGCGGGUCACCUGGGCGUGGCCGGUCCUGCCGCCUUCAAAGGAGCAGACUGGUCGAGGUUUGUCCAUGGACAGAUGGAGGUAUGGCGAGCCUAUGCCUUAGACUGGAUCACUCUAGGCAGGAGCGUGUUGGUGGUGCACUAUGAAUAUCUCCUGGAGGAUCCUCAGAGGGAGCUCCUACGGAUCCUACAGUUUCUCCGUCUGCGUGUGGAGAAGCAACGCCUCCAAUGUGUUAUGGCCAACUUAGACGGUGCCUUCAGGAGAGUCACCCCCGACAAGAUCUCCUACAGGAUUAGUGACCCGUACACCAAGGAGCUACACGAGGUAGUGGAGGAAGGCAUGAGAGACGUCGAUUUAGCCCUGGUGAAACAUGGGUGGCCAGGCCUCCCCGUCCACCUCUACAGCUACCACUACGAACGGAACACCACUACUACACCUACCAAGGACACCAGAGAUACGAACAGCGUCUUCAAGGGCCCCAUCAACGCCAUAAUUAGUACCAACAAUGUCAUUAUGGGUACCAGCAGCGUCGCCCAGGGCAGUGCCAAUAAUGUUGCAAAGUUCAUCAAAAACGAUAUUGUUAGGGAAACGAAACUCCCUAUCAAGAGUCUCAAUAGUAUCGUUCAGGACAACAGCAUCAUCAUCGAGGAUACGAGGACCACCGUCAAGGCCCCGUUGGACACUAGGAACAAAAAGGGUAAAGUUGGAAGAAACGUUUACCAGAAGAAAAUUGAUAAAAGGUGGAAGGCGAAGGGAAAGAAAGAACGAAAAAUAAACGGAAAUAAGAUUAAAUUUGAGGACCAAAAUGGUGUGAAAGUGCUGAAAUUAUCUCCCUGGAUGAAGUCAAGAUGAGGAAGCGGUAGUGUCUCUCAGAUGGUGUGAUCCAGUCGUGACAGACAUGGGACGAGGGAUUUAGACGUCAACGAUAGUAUGUUGACCUUUGCCUCCGUUUGCUUGAAGGUCUGGUCAGAAGCGGAUGAUUGUGUUAUAACUUGAAUGACAUGAACGAAAGUGAUAAUGUUUUGAGAGUUUAUGUGUCACACCGCUACUAAACCUUUGGAGGAGGAUGAUUUAACAGGAUAGUAUUUCAUUACUUUCAGAAUGAUAGUUUAACUUCUCAAGGAUGGUGUUUAACCCUUCAAGGAUGACGUUUUAACAAAGAAAUGGUUCAACACCUUCAUGAACAUUAUUUGAUUACUCAAAGACGAUGAUGAAGAAGUUACUUGAAGAUGAGAUCAUAUAUCAAUCGUCCUCAAAGGGUUAUUAUUCUUAUUAUUAUUAUUAGUAUUGGUAUUUAAGUAGCUCAUCUAUGAGGGUCUUUUACCUGGGAUGAGAAGAGGAGAAACGACAGCCCCUCGUAACAGACUGGGACGUGAUGUGUUGUGAUCCACGAGUCUUACCCCCGUUUCAAUACAAGUAUCAGUGUCUUGGAUGGAGUUAAAAGAAAAUGAAGAAAAACGACUUUAUCUUUAUAGCUUUAUGUGUUAUGAAGUUAAAGUCUAAAGGCUGUGAGUGUUACGAGUACUGUCAUGUUAAGAACUGUUAUAUUUUUUUUUCCUAUUCACCUCCGUUUGUAUAUAAGUUUUGUCUUUAGAAAUACCUUGAUGCUUUUAGUCUGAGGUGACAGCUUAUACCAGCUUAGAAUGUCACAGUGAUUUAAGAUCUGUGAUUCUUAAUUGAAUUUAUAUCUUGCCUGAUGAGUGUUGAGAGUUUAAUUCUCUUUUGAAUCUCGAUUACGGAAACUCGGUUUAGUAAACCUCUGAUAUAGGUGUGACGUGAAGGUGAUGGCGGCGCUCACUCACUCACUCACACACUCACUCACCACCUGCUCAACACGUCUCCUGAGUUUGUAAGCUUCGCGGUACACGUUUACCUGUAUAGGGUAGUUCGUCAAGCUACUGUAAUAUUGCGCCUGGCUUCCCAAAGGUUCGUACGAUGAAUUUUCCUUAUAACUGACGUAAGAACACCCUUAACUGAGAAACUUCAAUUACAUCACAAAAAAUAUCAUCCAAAAUUGCGUGGUCACUUUGUACUAGUUAGGCGAUAUAAUUAACACAGUCUUUGUGGUUUAUGAUUCCCAGAGGAUCGUAGGAUGACGUUUCCCCUAACUGGAGAUCUUAGAAUAUGUAUAACUAGUUCACUGAAAUUAUGCCUUAAAGUUAGACUCCAAAAUGGCGUCUGAAUUAUGAUGAAACUCUAUCGUCAUUACUUUCGUUCUCUUAAACCCCAAUUAGGCAAAAAAAAAGUCUUCAGAAUGUUUUUGAAUACGCAGUGAAUGUUGACUUUCAUAAUAAUACAUUCAAGUUUCACCUCUGUUUCUGUCAUUACACAUCACCAGUUAUUAUAGACAAGGAACAUACGAACCUUCGACAAUAAUGAGUCAUCGUUUUUUUUUAUAUACAGGAUUCUAUAAUAGCAUUAGGUAAGGCAGGUUCCACCAGGUAUACAAUCAAAAGAGAGUAUAAACAAGACUGGCCAUUACAGCUUGUUGUUGCUUCACGUUAGUACAUAUCACAGUCAAUUCCUCUUGUUGGUUUUAAUUUGUAGGUGUUUCAGCUACCAGGCUUACUGAGCACAGUCCACCAGGUUCAGGUCUUAGUUUUAGGUGCUUCAAUUUGCCAGGGUUAUUAAGCACUGUUUACUAGGUCUUAGUUUUAGUUGCUUCAACUUGCCAUUAAGCACCGUUCAAUAGGUCUUAGUUUUAUGUGCUUCAACAUGCCAUUAAGCACCGUUCAAUAGGUCUUAGUUUUAGGUGCUUCAAUUUGUCAGGGUAAUUAAGCGCCGUUCAUUCGAUCUCAAUUUGUACAAGACACAAAUCUUUUUAAUAAACAUAAUAUGAUAAGGUCCUCUUAACAUACGCUUAAUACAAGCAGCAGGUACAAGUCCUCAGGUGUUUAGUUAAGGCCCCAAAAUUCCCUCGACACUUGUUAACACCUGUCAUCUACUUGUGAAUCAUGAUACCUGAUUUAUUUAUUUAUUUAUUCAAGCAAAACAACACGAAAGAAAACUACAAUAAAACAAAAUCUAAGUGUGAAUAGUUGUUAAACCUACUGUCCUUCCCUUAGUUAAAUGACCCACAAGUAGAUGGUGGUAAAUAUUGCUAAACCUGUCCAGAGAAUUUUGACCAAAACUUUUACACAUCUGACAAGUUUGUUUAUGUUUAUGUUCUGUGGUGGAUGACAUGUUUGUUUUUGUCUCUGGAUUAUCACCAGUAACAGAGGUCGAAUCCUGGACGAACUGGACAUAUCAAAUUCAAUAAUAUAUAUAUAUAUAUAUAUAUAUAUAUAUAUAUAUAUAUAUAUAUAUAUAUAUAUAUAUAUAUAUAUAUAUAUAUAUAUAUAUAUAUAUAUAUAUAUAUAUAUAUAUAUAUAUAUAUAGGUAGUGUUUAAUUCCUUGUACGUUGUUGUUUAUUGAAAUUCAUUAAUUAGCGGAUCCAGACCUGCUACCAAACCUAAUUUAACCUGGUCGGAUUUCAUUUAAUCUAACCAAUCAUAAGUUUAUCCUAACCUAACUUGGGUUAAUUUAACCUAACCUUACUUAACCCCUAAACAUAACUAACUCCUUGCCUAACCUAACUUAACCAAGCCAAACAUCACAUAACUUGAUUUAAUUUAAUCUGACCAAUCAUAAAUUUAUCCUUACCUAUCUUUGGCUAAUUCAGCCUAACCUUACCUAACUCCUAACCUAACUUAACCGAAUCUUAACCCAAACCAACUUAACCUAACAUAGCCCACACCUAACCUUGCUUACCUGUAAUAUAGACUAACAGAGGACCGGGGUUCAUGUGUGUGUGAUGUCAUAGGUCUGGUCUUAGGUCUGGGUCCGGUUUGGUCUGGCCUUUAUAUGUCAAACUGUUUUACUGAAGAAAAAACGUUGUAUACUUAUAUUAAUUAGUACUAAGGUUUGAUAUAGGUAAAACAUAAACAUUCUUAAGGAGGUCAGGUCAGGUCAGAGGUCAGAUAUUAUUAAAACACUAUCUUUGAAGUGUGUGUGUUGAAUCUGAACCGUUGGACUUGACCUCUCAAAUUAAACUCAAUGAGUCUUGUUUAUGGACUUGUAUAAUUUGUCUAGUAUCUAGAUAAGUAUAAUUUAUGUUAAAGAAAGUUGAUAAUAGACGUGUGUAAGUCCCUCUCCUUCCUUCCCUCCUUCAUUCCUUCUUUCCUUCCUUCCUUCUUUCCACCAUCAUCAAAUGUGUUUGUUAUUAGAAGGAGGGUUCGGUUCCUUGGUCUGGCUCCCCGUGUGGUUUACUCUAAAGAGCCGGAUACGUUACGACUUGUGUACAGUGCCAAAGGUUCUAACAUGCACUGAACUAACCUAAUCUAGCUUAACCUAACCUGACCUAACGUAAUCGAAGAUCGUUAGAUUAGAUUAAGUUACGUUAGAUUAGGUUAAGUUACGUUAGAUUAGGUCAAAUUCGAUCCAACUGGUUCGUGUUUGCUAAUAUUAACAUAUAUAUUUCUUAUACACUAGUUAUACAUAUCCGACUCUCUUAUAGAAACAGUCUGAGAGCCGGACUCAGUUGCUGUGGCCACGAACUUAUUGUUAAUACUGAGGCUCAGAGCUCUUGUUACCCAUUAUUGAAUAUUCUAAAUAAACUGUUAUCGAAGAAA